CAACUCUGGUUUCUCUUCAUCUCGUACAAAUCUUUUGCCUUUUACUAAAGAUUUCCGUGGAGAGGAGCAUGAAUGAGUUCCGUGCGAGUUUUUUUUCUCCUUGCCUUCAGGUGG
ensembl:snRNA U5 U5 spliceosomal RNA